UGGGGAAUUUUGCACAAUGGGGGAAACCCUGAUGCAGCGACGCCGCGUGAUUUAGAAGGCCUUCGGGUUGUAAAAAUCUUUUGUAUGGGAAGAAAAUGACAGUACCAUACGAAUAAGGACCGGCUAAUUACGUGCCAGCAGCCGCGGUAAUACGUAAGGUCCGAGCGUUGUCCGGAAUUAUUGGGCGUAAAGGGUACGUAGGCGGUUUUUUAAGUCAGGUGUCAAAGCGUGGAGCUUAACUCCAUUAAGCACUUGAAACUGAAAGACUUGAGUGAAGGAGAGGAAAGUGGAAUUCCUAGUGUAGCGGUGAAAUGCGUAGAUAUUAGGAGGAAUACCGGUGGCGAAGGCGACUUUCUGGACUUUUACUGACGCUCAGGUACGAAAGCGUGGGGAGCAAACAGG
rnacentral:rRNA from 1 species